ACUGCCCGGACCCAGCCCUGGCCCAAUGGGGCUCGCACCUCCAAAGCCCACGUCCGCACGUUCCGAGCCCACCGUCCCAUCGCACACAUCCGGGGGCCGCCACUGCGCCUAACGACCGCCCAUCUCUGACGCCUCGGGUCCGCGUUUGAUUUUUAACCCAAGGAAAGAGUAAAAGUAAAGCGGAAAUCAACGCAGAAGCCGUGCUGCCGUCUCUGAGCUUCCUGACGGGCGUGUCCAGAGGCGGGCUCCUCCUCCCGCGGCAGCCGCCGGGCUCACUUCAGUGCGCUCAGCUUCUCGCGGGGAUAAGCGUCUGGGCGGGGACGGCCCGAGGCGGGGGUGUGGCGAGGCUGGAGAACGCUGAAAGCUGGUGGGCUUGGGAAGACAAACGACGCUCUGAAAUUUGGCUCCCAGGUUGCGACCUUUCCUUCCCCAGCAAUAAACUGGUCUCUGGAGAUCACUGUAGAAUUGUAGUGGAUGAAAAAUCAGGUCAGGUGACACUGGAAGA
rnacentral:sRNA from 1 species